rnacentral:rRNA from 1 species
UGGACCUGAUAUCAGACAA